GCAGCCCGCGCCCGCCCGCCGCAAGUUUGUUCCCCGCCGCUGCGGCCUGCGCGGAGAGAGGAUCGCGCGCGGGGAGGCGCCGAGGGGCAGCAAGAGUGGAGAAAGUGCGGAAAGAAGCAACAGCCGCUCCACCCGCGGGCGGAAAAGUGGCCGGGCGCGGCGGCGGGAUGCGGCGCAGCUAACGGUCCCCGGCGGCCGCCGGAGCCGCUAGGCGCAGAGGCAGCUCACAAGUGUAGGGCUGGAGCUACAGGAACCAUCCAGGUGCACUGGCUUGGCCUCUGCGUCUUUCUGUGCCACUGUCUCAUUCUGUUUCCGGCUGUGCGUGGAUGCGGAUGGUCCAGAGAGAGAAAGAACACGGAGGAGAAGGUUAGAGACCUGCAGUUCCACCAAGCUCUUGCUUGGCUAUUAAUUGCAUCCAGCUAUGUUGGUGCUGUCAUAGUCCCACCUGGGGUCAUUGUUAAUAACACUCGUCAAGAACUGUGUGGGAACUUCUGCCUCCUUAAAGGGCUUUAGAACUCAUAUGAUAUGUACUCACUGAUAAGUGGAUAUUAGCCCAGAAACUUAGAAUAAAUACCCAAGAUACAAUUUCCAAGACACAUGAAACUGAAGAAGAACGAAGACCAAAGUGUGGACACUUCGCCCCUUCUUAGAAUUGGGAAGAAAACACCCAUGGAAGGAAUUAGGGAGACAAAGUUUGGAGCUGAGGCGAAAUGAUGGACCAUCCAGAGACUGCCACACCCGGGGAUCCAUCCCAUAAUCAGCCACCAAACGCAGACACUAUUGCAUGCGCCAGCAAGAAUUUUUGAAAGGACCCUGAUAUAGCUGUCUCUUGUGAGGCUAUGCCAGUGCCUGGCAAACACAGAAGUGGAUGCUCACAGUCAGNNNNNNNNNNNNNNNNNNNNNNNNNGAGCUGAAGGGGUCUGCAACCCUAUAGGUGGAACAACAAUAUGAACUAACCAGUACCCCCAGAGCUCCUGUCUCUAGCUGCAUAUGUAGAAGAAGAUGACCUAGUCGGCCAUCAUUGGGAAGAGAGGCCCCUUGGUCUUGCAAACUUUAUGCCCCAGUACAGGGGAAACACCAGAGCCAAGAAGUGGGAGUGAGUGGGUAGGGGAGUCGGGGGUGUAUAGGCAACUUUCAAGGUAGCAUUUGAAAUGUAAAUGAAGAAAAUUCCUAAUAAAAAUUGGAAAAAUAAAAAAUAAUAAUUAGGAAGCUAACCUAUUAUAAGAGUGCAAUAGCAACAGUUUAAAGGGUGUUGUGUUCUUUGCUAAUUAGAAUCUCACUUGAUCUCCGUAACAGUACAAUAACUGGAAGAUCCCUUGGAAACUGCGGGUCUUAGAGGUUACUAAACCAAUCUGUCCAGCCUAGGGUGGUCAGGGAUGGGGACACAGUGUGCUGUUGGGUUGAGGUGACUGCAACCCUGGCCUUAACGGACAUCUAAACUAUUUAACCCAAAGUGAUUUGGGCUAGUUAUGGAAAGUGAAGUGUGUAACAGUGCUGACCAAGUGCAGACACCAUGUGAGAACUUGUCAUUUAGUGGCUUAGUGUCCUUUGCCUUGUUUAUUUCUCCUGAUCUCUGAAGAGCUGCCCAGGUGGAACAAGGCAAAUCAUACCUCAAGGUUAUUGAUAGGGAAGUAGAUAUUGUUAGCUUAGAAGGUAGAUAUCUGCCCAGCUCUGGUACUUUAAAGGCAUAUUAUAAAUAUAAAGGUUUUUUUUAAUCUUUUGUCUGGGAACUGAACAAUCAAAGGUGGGGUUAGAGAUUAUUACCACACUCGAUCCUCCAUUCUCCAUGAAAUACACCCCUUCUAAACCUGGAGGACCCUAUCCUUGCUUGGCUUCUCUGACACUCUCAAGCAACUCCUUGUCAGGCCCUCUUAGUUGUUGACCUCCCUACACUGCAUGCCAGAGAGCCAGGCUCUGCCCCAGAUUCUUUACAGUUUCUCUCUCCACUUUGUUUUUCUGAUUCUCAUCUUCAUACCAGAGACUUAAUAUCUGCCUGCCAAUGAACUAUAUCUAAGGUCUUAAGAUGGUCGUCAGCACCUACAAUUGCCCCACCUUAGAUGAGAUACUCUUUCUUUCCUGUCCUUCACUCUUUCCUAGCUGCACCAGCCUUGUGUCAUUCCUUGAAAUGCCAGACACAUUCCUACCUUGGCACAGAAGCCUACUUCUAAAUCCAAAUUGGAAUGCUCUCAUGAAAAUGUGGUACAUUGAUCAAUACUAAUUUUUAAAUGCUCUUAUUAAAGGAAUUCAUAAUGUAA
ensembl:processed_transcript Gm10125 predicted gene 10125